UAAGCAGUUAUAGCUCAGCAUUAAGCUGCCUGAGCAUAGACGAUAUCAGUAUUUUACUUUUUCAUGCUGAUUUGAGAUUGAAACACUCAGAAUUAGACAAUGUUCCAGGGUGGAAACCUGAGGGAUAUUUCUGUUCAAUUUUAUUUUGAAAGAAUUUAAAAAUAUCAUUUUAGGCAUUGGAAGAGAUGGCUCACACUCCCUAAUUUAUGUCCUUAGUUCUCACAGAUUAUAAUUAAAAUGGUCAAAAUCCUUAUGCUUUUAUUCCCUGAAAAUAAGCUUCUAGGUAAAUACACCUCUGGACUCACACAGUUGAUAUGCAGGCAUCAAUUCAUGCUUUAUUACAGUACAUGAUGGACUUAACGAUUUUCAUAUUGAAAGACUGACAAUUCUGCAAUUAUGUUUUCUUAUCACCCUAACCUUCUAGAAAGCAACGACUAAAGUAAAACAUAUUUUCAUUAGCAUCUCUUGUAUUUUGAUGAAGUCAGAACAAGGUUGUGCCCCUUAUAACUAAAUAAUUUUGUCCCCUUACAACUGAAUAAGAGACUUCUGGCUCAAUUCAACCACUAUACUGUUUUCUAAUUAUUUUUCUACCCCCCCCCCCCCUUCCAGUCCAAAUUUCCCAUUAUCUUUAGUGCUGAAAUCAGGCUUCUCUUCUCAAUCUCAGACAAUCCUUAUGUACCCUCAGCUGGGAAAAGAGGGGGUCAGAUGGCUGAGAUGAGUCUGGAGACUCAGAAGUGCUUCUAGCAAGCCUGGGCUUGGGUACUAUUAAAUUGCUAUUGCUCUACACCAGCACAGUAAUGGAUAGGGAAAAUAUAAAAAUCCCAGGUAAUUUCCAGGAAGAAUUUGCCACAUUUGCUUUGUGACAUUACAAUCUCAAAACCCACUCAUAUAAACUGCAUCUAAGACCAAUAUUAUUAUCCAGCUUCAAGUAUCUUGUAUCUCUAGAGAUGAGAUGCUGUAGUUUGUUGUUUUGUGUUAACACAAAACAAUAUCAUGCAUAUUUAUGUGCACAGAUUCCUAUAUACUAAAAGUUCUUGCUUGAUCAAAGGAUAAAAUAUGGAUACUGCUGCUUGUUUGAUCGAAGGUUAAAAUAUGGAUACUACUUUUUGUCUAACUUUUUCACCAAUUCCUUUGUAGCUGUAUUUCAUCAGACUGAAUCUUCCUGCCUAGGAACAUCACAGAAUAACAUUCUGAAAAAGAGACGACACUGAAGUAUUAUCUGCUUAACAUAAUGUUCACAAUAUUUCCCUGCUGACAUCUCCUAAUAAAUAUUUAAUGAACAAUGGUCCGACUGGUGACAAGACAUUAAUAACUCCAGAGGCAGUUUCUGUGUAAAUAAACCCUGUCAUGGGCCACAAUACAAGAGAACAGCUCUGGUAAUUGUUUUCCACCAGCUGUAACACAGGGUGAAGAAAUAGCCCAGCUCAGAUUGUUCUGACUGAGAAAUACGGUGGAACGAGCAAGUACCAAAUCAGUUUGCAAUGCACAUCCUGCCACGGAAAAUCACCAGUGCUCCUUUGCUAAGUCAGCAUACAUACUAAGUUUUAACAACAGCAUUGCUACCUGUCAGAAGUCAGAUAUUAGACGAUUAGACUAUUUUUGCUAUUCAUGGUGUCUGGAAAAUUUCACAGGGUUGCUCUCUUUGUGUUUUCUUUGCAAAGAACACAAAGGGUAUUUUUCCUUCUUUUUACCUGUUUACCCAUCUGCAUAUAGAAGCAUUACAAUACUGUGUUUAGAUAUAAUUACAAUAAAAUAUAUCAAAAAUGCCAAUCAA